rnacentral:lncRNA from 1 species
CUCCAGAGGCCCUAACCAGGCCCUCCCUGAGUGGGGAGGUGAGUUCCCAGAGAGCAGGACUCCCCACAUGGGCAAGCUGGGUAGGAGAGGAAUCAAAGAUAUUCCUGUGCUGUUAUCAGAUGCAGUGAGGCUGUGAGUGGUCAUG